rnacentral:tRNA from 1 species
GUUAAUGUAGCACAACCAGGUAC